AGUGAACGCUGGCGGUAGGCCUAACACAUGCAAGUCGAACGGCAGCACAGUAAGAGCUUGCUCUUACGGGUGGCGAGUGGCGGACGGGUGAGGAAUACAUCGGAAUCUACUUUUUCGUGGGGGAUAACGUAGGGAAACUUACGCUAAUACCGCAUACGACCUACGGGUGAAAGCAGGGGAUCUUCGGACCUUGCGCGAUUGAAUGAGCCGAUGUCGGAUUAGCUAGUUGGCGGGGUAAAGGCCCACCAAGGCGACGAUCCGUAGCUGGUCUGAGAGGAUGAUCAGCCACACUGGAACUGAGACACGGUCCAGACUCCUACGGGAGGCAGCAGUGGGGAAUAUUGGACAAUGGGCGCAGGCCUGAUCCAGCCAUACCGCGCGGGUGAAGAAGGCCUUCGGGUUGUAAAGCCCUUUUGUUGGGAAAGAAAAGCAGCAGGUUAAUACCCCGCUGUUCUGACGGUACCCAAAGAAUAAGCACCGGCUAACUUCGUG
rnacentral:rRNA from 1 species